rnacentral:rRNA from 1 species
CCUACGGGAGGCAGCAGUGGGGAAUUUUGGACAAUGGGGGCAACCCUGAUCCAGCCAUUCCGCGUGAGUGAAGAAGGCCUUCGGGUUGUAAAGCUCUUUCGCAAGGGAAGAAAACUUAUGAUCGAAUAAAUCAUGAGGUUGACGGUACCUUGAUAAGAAGCACCGGCUAACUACGUGCCAGCAGCCGCGGUAAUACGUAGGGUGCGAGCGUUAAUCGGAAUUACUGGGCGUAAAGCGUGCGCAGGCGGUUUUGUAAGUCGGAUGUGAAAUCCCCGGGCUCAACCUGGGAACUGCGUUCGAAACUGCAAGGCUAGAGUGUGUCAGAGGGGGGUAGAAUUCCACGUGUAGCAGUGAAAUGCGUAGAGAUGUGGAGGAAUACCAAUGGCGAAGGCAGCCCCCUGGGAUAACACUGACGCUCAUGCACGAAAGCGUGGGGAGCAAACAGGAUUAGAUACCCUGGUAGUCCACGCCCUAAACGAUGUCAACUAGUUGUUGGUANAGUAAAAUCUAUGAGUAACGUAGCUAACGCGUGAAGUUGACCGCCUGGGGAGUACGGUCGCAAGAUUAAAACCUUAAAUUGAAAUUGACGGCUUGAGAGNGCGAGCGACGACGAGGAGAGG